ensembl:misc_RNA Metazoa_SRP Metazoan signal recognition particle RNA
GCCAGGCAUGGUGGCGUGUGCCUGUAGUCCCAGCUACUCAGGAGGCUGAGGCAGGAGAAUUGCUUGAACCCGGGAGACGGAGGUUGCAGUGAGCCGAGAUCACGCCACUCCACUCCAGCCUGGGUGACAGAGCAAGACUCUGGCUCUU